rnacentral:tRNA from 1 species
GGAGAGGUGACCGAGUGGCUGAAGGUGCACGCCUGGAAAGCGUGUGGGGGCGCAAGCCCCUCGUGGGUUCGAAUCCCACCCUCUCCG